GCCAGGUUCCUAAGCAUCUCUCUGUGUGGGCCUCCCCUGCUUUUCCAGCGCUCAGGUGACAAGCACAGGAUUCUCUCUGGACACCAAAUCAGCGGAUGAGAUGCUACCCUGACAAUCAGAAGCCUCACCUCUAGUGGCUGAACUUUCCACAGUCCCUUCCUCCUUGGUAAGAUACCAUAUGUCCUAGUUUUGACCUGUACUGAAAUGGGAGGAAAGAAGGUCCUCUAGAAGGUUCUUAGUCUCAUUCAUAAAAGGAUUGAAGAAUGGACCCAAACGGCAGAGAGUGGACAGACUUAUUGAGACCUACAUGACUGUGGCUGGUCAGAAGUUCUGUGGAGUUAUGCAUUACAAGGUCCCUCCUUCCAAGGUGGUGCUGGAUCCAACCCAGUCUAAUAGAAGCACCAACAAAUCAAAGUGGCAUGACUUCAUCUGUGAAUACAUGGGGACCCUUAACGCCUCCUGGUCAUCAACCCGCAAGAAAAUGAAAGGUCAUGACCAGGAGUUUCCUUUGGAAUUCUGCUCAACAGCACAUCAGAGCCUGGGUCCUUGGACCAUAAGUGAUGCUCCAUUUGCAAGUGUUUCAUGGAAUUUUUCAUCUCCAGUUUAACUCUGGCUCCUGCACAUCUGUCCACAAGACCCCACCCUACUGGAAGUCAUCUGAUCUCUUCCUUGGCACCAACUAAAGGCUAUGAAUUCCAUAGAUGCGCAACAUCCAGGUUGAGUUACAAGUCAACCUGGAAGUCAGAACAUCUGGGCCAACAAUCAGACUCCACCCUCUGCAGCUGUACACUGAUGAAGUUACUUACUGAUCUCUGCCUUAAUGCCUCAUCUGCAGGAAGGGUAGAUAGGGCAAUGGAAGUUCUGUGAUAAUUAAAUGUGAAGUGUUUACUGCAUUGUUUGGAAAGUCGGUGCUGUUAUCAUCACUCUCUAUCACUACCACCAAUCUCUAUCAUCAUCA